GGAGGGGGCGAGCGUUGUCCGAAGUUACUGGGCGUAAAGCGCGUGUAGGCGGGUUGUCAAGUCCGCUGUGAAAGCCCGAGGCUCAACCUCGGAGGGUCGGUGGAUACUGACAGUCUUGAAGGUGCUAGGGGGAGAUGGAAUUACCGGUGUAGCGGUGAAAUGCGUAGAGAUCGGUAGGAACACCAGUGGCGAAGGCGGUCUCCUGGGGCAUUCUUGACGCUGAGACGCGAAAGCUGGGGGAGCGAACGGGAUUAGAUACCCCGGUAGUCCCAGCCCUAAACGAUGGAUACUAGGUGUCGGGGGUAUCGACCCCCCCGGUGCCGCCGCUAGCGCAGUAAGUAUCCCGCCUGGGGAGUACGGCCGCAAGGUUG
rnacentral:rRNA from 1 species